UUGUUGUUGUAGGACGACUGUUUGUGUGCUGCUCCGUGCUCCGUGUGUGCUGCUGUGGUCGUUGGCCGGUGGUGAAUGCUGGCGGCUGGAGUCCAAUCCUUCCUCCUCGUGAGUGUGUGUGUUCUGAGAAGUUGCUGUAGGCCGGUGGUGGCGGUGCUGGUGACCUGGUGGUGGUGUCCUCCCGUCGUAUCUUGCUGUGUCCCUGGGAGUGGGUUUCUUCACUGAGGGUGUGUUUGCCACAUGUGCCUGGGGACUUAAGUUAUUUUUGCAUUAUUUUGGUGGAUCCUGCCCUUGCACUAGCCCUUGUCCAUCCACUUCGGCCUCAGCCCUGAUUAGGUUUUUAUUUUAUUAUGUGAAUGAGUUUUAUGGAGUAUAUGUUUUUUAAAAACAAAUGUUGAAUAAAACUUGUAUUUUCAAACUUUGAACCACGUCUCUUGCCCUCCAGUAACCACGAACCUUUGUGCCUUGGGUUUGAGCAAUUCCCUGGGUGAAAUUCCCAGGGUGGCGUUGUCGAGCUUUUUCCUCCUUAAUAAUAG